UCAACAGAGGUCCUCCUGGGGUAGGGAGAACACUCGAGGUUCUGACUGGGGGGCCGUCCGGUCUUCGUCCUGAUGCCGGCAUUGUUCCCCGUGUGUGGGGUCACCUGCCCCCCCCCACCGUGCCCCGCCCACAGGCCUACCUGGCACAAGGGCUUCCGCAUCCGGCUCGGACAGGGGGUGCCACACUGAGCACCUGAGACCCUCGUGCCUGGCUGGCUCGCCCCUUCCCCCACAUGUCCCCAAGCACUGCCCCUGGUCCCUUCUGCUUGCAUUGCUCAUUUCCCUCCUAUCUCUGCUCAGCCUUCGAGCCCACGUCAGGCAGCAGGAAGCCUUUCCUGAGCCCCCUAGGCUCCUUUUUCCUACUAACACAGCACUGACCACAAACUCAAAAGCCCCUUUAAGGGCCAGGCAGUGCCGUGAAUGAGUCAUGGGGGCUGUUCAACUCAGACACAGAUACCAGACAAGCAAGAACUACAGACCCAUCUUCUUAAGUGUAAUGACGGUACCUGUGAUCAGGUCGGAAGCCGGGCAGCGGUGCUCCUUGGAGGGAUGAGGACAACCAGAAGGGGACACCAGGGGGAUGGCCAGGCACGUUUCCGUCUUGACCUGGGCCGGCUGUAUGGAUGUAUGGAACCUGUAUACCUAUCAUGAAGCCAUACCCUUACGAUGCGUGCCUUUCCUAUCCAUUAACGAGAGACGGCCAGCACCAACGGCUGCGAUGCGCUAGGUCUUGGGGCCUCGAGGAACGCAACCCUGGUGGCUCCAGGAGCCCAGGCCGGAACCAGAAAGGGUGAUACACACCGACGUUCUCCGCCGAGCACCAACCUACCCAGAGACGAGCUUGUGAUCACAGGGUCAAGAAUGGAGCCUCAGCCCUGCCUGGACACCUGGGACAGACCACACAGGGUCAUCGGUCUCUGGGCUGUCACGAGGAUUACGUGAGACAGCACGUGUGAAAAGCCUCCGCAUGCCCUGAAGGGUGUGCCUGGUGUGACUGGGCGGACAGAGGGGCUGCCAUUAAAGAGGAUUGCU